AUAUUGCUGGAGAUCUCUGUGUAUCUAAGGCUUUCUGAAGAGCUUCAAAAGGUGCUCUUAAACAUCAAGAGUAGUUUCACAGUUUUACAGCAAUGGGCAUUUUCAAACCCCAAGUAUUUCAUUAGGUCAGAACAACUUCACCCCAGCACAUAAAUCUUAGAAACUGAUACUAGCAGAUUCAGAACUUGUAAUGCAGGAGAAGAGAGGAUAUAGAGGAGCUCGCUCUGAGGAUGCCUGCGUUGCUCCCAGCUCUUCUGGGGAUACAGAAGAGAGAAUAUGAGGAUAUCUGUAUGAGGAGCUGUCAGUCUUUUAGGCUGUGAUUUUGUUUUUCUUCCCUGAUGACAGAGCUUGCUGCGUCCUCCUGGCAAUCACUAUUGGGCUUAAUCAUCACUUAAAUUGCAAGUUUGUUACUCUCCGGAGUCUUCAUGCCCAUGAACAGUUUUGUAGUUGCUUCUCCCUGCUCAGACUAAGACAUUCAAACUCCUCCUUCACUUUCCUUUGCUUGAUCUCCUCAGUUGCUGACAUAGGCUAACUUGACUCAAGCUUGUCACUAGCCUAAAUAAUCGUAACAAUUGCUGACCUUCAUUUAAUGUCUUCAAAGAGGGGAUUUUGCUAAUUUUUUGCUAUCUGAAAGGUUGGAAGUAUCUAUGUUAUUUGUUAGGAAGGUUAUUCAAGUCUAUUUCAGAAGUGUUGCAGAUGAUAGAUCUCUGGUAGAAUCCUGUUUUUAAUUAAUUUAACUUAAUCUACUUAAUGGAUUUACUUGUAAGUUACCAGAAAAUUCAUUCAGAGCUUAUGUGCUGUAAGUCUGGAGAUGAUACGCAUAGUCUUUUUACACACUGCAUAGAGGCUGAGUCCUUAUUUUUUAAAAAUAGCAAUGUUUUGGGACUGUACUGAGCAGUGUAUUUGCAGUGUUUCCUACAAAUAGCACUAGAUCCAUCAUAAGGCUGCAAAGCCAGACAGUUUAAAUUUGGGAAGUUGCUGAAUUUAAGCUGAUUAUAGUAUAACACAAUCCCAAUUCAGAUUUUUUUUCAGGUGACCAUGACACUUUCAGUGCUAGAGUAUUUACUUUUAGCUAACAAACAUUAAUUUUACUCUCAUUGCUCACAGGUCAGAAAGUUCAGUAUUUACUGAAUAUUAAUCAAAUCCUUAUAAAAACACAAUUAUUAGUUUCCCUUUAGGUUUUGCUGUCUAUGGCACUCAUUACAGUACCAUGUGAGUACUUCACACUUUUCUCCAGCAGCAUUUAUUUUUAUUCACUUUCUCCAGAUGGAAAUUGAGACAGAGUGAUUUAGAUGCAAAUUGUUUAUUCAUUUUGUGUUGGGCUUUAUAAAUUAAAUAGUUUUCAUCGUUGCUAAUUUUAGCUGCAAGUAUUUAGCACAUCUGAUCAGAUACUUAAGAAGUAGGAAGUAAUUUAUGAACCCACAUCACACAUGUGACUUAUCUUGCAGCAUGCUAUCUGAGGACUGUUACGGGGAAAAGAAAUAUGGUUUUCUGGGGUAUUCUUGAUUACCUUAAGCAUGAGUCUGUCCCCUCCUCUUCAUAAUAUCUGCUAUUUACCAUCCAGCCUAGGUAGUAAAUGGGGGAAUAUUUUGAGGAACCAAGUAAAAGCCAUGAAAUUCAAACUAGCAUAUAAUAUAUAUAUGUAUGUGUGUGUAUAUAUAUAUAUAAACAGAAGAAUUGCUAUUUACUUGUGAAGAACAUAGAGGGAUUAUUUAUUAAAGUUAUUAAAACAAGACAGACCUCUUAACUCCCCUGCUACUAUACUAAAGGGUUCCACUUGGUGGCAAGUCGAAUGAGAACCAGCACUUUGCCCUGGCAGCCCAAAAAGCCAAUUGUACCCUGGAUACACCAGGCCCAGCACUGCCACCAGACAAGGGAAGGAGUUGUCCCACUCUGCUCUGAGCAGUGUGGCCUCACCUCCAGCACUGAGUGCAGUUUGGGUGCCACAAUAUAUGAAGGAGAUAAAACUGUUAGAGAGCCUUCAAAGGAGGGCUACGAAGAUGGAGAAGCUGCUAGAGCUCAAGGAGAGUAUGGACAAUGCUGCCACAUAUUAGGAUUUGAAUUUUGGGUCGUCCUGUGUGGAGCCAAUGGUUAGACUCAGUGGUCCUCAGGGGUUCCCUCCAACUCAGGGUAUUCUAUAGCUCAUCAGUUGCAUUGCCAAAAAGGGGCUGAAGUCUGCUUGAAUUGGUAUAAAAUAUUCUUUGAAGUAAAAUUAAUUGAUUUGCUUAACUUAGCUUUGUUCUGUCAGUGAGAACUUAGCCCAGGAAUACUCAGCUCUUGAUUACAGUGAUGUUCAGAGGAGUACUGAAUGUCCAGGUAGACAAUAGGUGGGAUUAAGGCUAAUUGGAGAAGAAAGGUGGAACGGUUUCUGUGUUGCUGUGACAAUCGGAACUAUGUUUUAGUGAAAAGUAGGAUAGAUCUAAGUAAAAUGUACUUAAAUUAAACAAACAACAGCAACAACAACAAAAUCCCAAGCAGUAAGUUAAAGUACAAAGUACCUGAAUGCUGGAGUGGUGAGGGGUGUUUGUUUUCUUUUCCAUUUUGCAUGUGAGUUUAACAAGGAGAAGUUGACGAAGGAAACUGAGAUAAAAGUGAUUGGGUGUAAAAUAAAUGGCACUGU
rnacentral:lncRNA from 1 species